rnacentral:rRNA from 1 species
AUGGCGGCGCAGGAGGCGUCGCAGGCGCUGCGGUGGCGCUACGGCGACGUGGACGACGGCAACUUCUCCGUGCGCGGCGGCCGCGGCGUGCCGCUGCUCGCGACGCUCUUCGCCGUCCUCGUCUUCUUCGUGGGCGUCUGCGUCUACCUCCGCUGGGUGUGCCGGCGGUACAACACCGACGCGACGCUUCCCAUCUCAUUCUCCUACCCCUCCUCGUCGCCGUCUUCCUCCGCUGCGGCGCCCGGUGCCCCCUCCGCGGUGGCAGGCCUCGACGCUGCCGCGAUAGCCGGCUUGCACGUGACGCCGUACCGUCGUCCUCCGUCGGCGUCCCCUGGCCGCGAGGACGACGAGACGCAGUGCCCGAUAUGCCUCGGCGAGUUCGUGGAGGGCGAGAGGGUGAAGGCGCUGCCGCGGUGCGGGCACUGCUUCCACCCGGAGUGCGUGGACGCGUGGCUGUGUUCGCAUCCCAGCUGCCCGCUGUGCCGGGGCUCGCUUCUCGCCGACACCUCCACCAUCAAAACUGUGGACGCGAGCGAAGCUGUCUGA